rnacentral:rRNA from 1 species
CUCCAGACUCCUACGGGAGGCAGCAGUGGGGAAUAUUGCACAAUGGGGGAAACCCUGAUGCAGCGACGCCGCGUGAGUGAAGAAGUAUCUCGGUAUGUAAAGCUCUAUCAGCAGGGAAGAAAAUGACGGUACCUGACUAAGAAGCCCCGGCUAACUACGUGCCAGCAGCCGCGGUAAUACGUAGGGGGCAAGCGUUAUCCGGAUUUACUGGGUGUAAAGGGAGCGUAGACGGCUGUGCAAGCCAGAUGUGAAAGCCCGGGGCUCAACCCCGGGACUGCUCUGGAAACUGCGUCGCUGGAGUACGGGAGGGGCAGGCGGAAUUCCUGGUGUAGCGGUGAAAUGCGUAGAUAUCAGGAGGAACACCGGCGGCGAAGGCGGCCUGCUGGACCGUGACUGACGUUGAGGCUCGAGAGCGUGGGGAGCAAACAGGAUUAGAUACCCGCGUAGU